AUGGCAGAUAAUGGUAAAGCAAAAUUAGGCUCAGGAGCAGCCUAUACAACCAAUCUAGAGACCUUCAGUAAGCGGCUUAAGGUGUUUUAUGACCAUUGGAACGAAAAUAAGUCUCAUCUUUGGGCUUCUUCCGAUGCCAUUGCAAUUGUGACUCCCCCUCCUUCUGAGGAUCUCCGUCAUUUGAAAUCCACAGCUCUGGAUGUUUGGUUACUUGGAUAUGAUGAAUUUCCAGAAACGAUAAUUGUCUUCAUGCAGAAGCAGAUACAUUUCUUAUGCAGCGAGAAGAAAGCAAAUCUUAUUGGAACCAUCAAGGAUGCUACUGCAAGUGAGGCUGUUGGUUCUGAUAUUGUCUUGCAUGUGAAAAGCAAGAAUGGGGAUGGCAUUGACCUGAUGGAUGAUAAUACUGUGUGCUGUUUGUGCUCAGUCGAAAUCUGA
rnacentral:rRNA from 1 species